rnacentral:rRNA from 1 species
AUGUGGUUUAAUUCGAAGCAACGCGAAGAACCUUACCAGGUCUUGACAUCCCUCUGACCGCUCUAGAGAUAGAGUUUUCCUUCGGGACAGAGGUGACAGGUGGUGCAUGGUUGUCGUCAGCUCGUGUCGUGAGAUGUUGGGUUAAGUCCCGCAACGAGCGCAACCCCUAUUGUUAGUUGCCAUCAUUCAGUUGGGCACUCUAGCGAGACUGCCGGUAAUAAACCGGAGGAAGGUGGGGAUGACGUCAAAUCAUCAUGCCCCUUAUGACCUGGGCUACACACGUGCUACAAUGGCUGGUACAACGAGUCGCAAGCCGGUGACGGCAAGCUAAUCUCUGAAAGCCAGUCUCAGUUCGGAUUGUAGGCUGCAACUCGCCUACAUGAAGUCGGAAUCGCUAGUAAUCGCGGAUCAGCACGCCGCGGUGAAUACGUUCCCGGGCCUUGUACACACCGCCCGUCACACCACGAGAGUUUGUAACACCCGAAGUCGGUGAGGUAACCGUAAGGAGCCAGCCGCCUAAGGUGGGAUAGAUGAUUGGGG